rnacentral:rRNA from 1 species
GAUCCUGGGCUCAGGAUGAACGCUAGCUACAGGCUCAACACAUGCAAGUCGAGGGGCAUCAGUUUGGUUUGCUUGCAAACCAAAGCUGGCGACCGGCGCACGGGUGAGUAACACGUAUCCAACCUGCCUCAUACUCGGGGAUAGCCUUUCGAAAGAAAGAUUAAUAUCCGAUAGCAUAUAUUUCCCGCAUGGGUUUUAUAUUAAAGAAAUUCGGUAUGAGAUGGGGAUGCGUUCCAUUAGUUUG